UGAGCAAACUAAAAGACCGCCCGGAGUCAUUUGAGAAGCCUAUUGCACAAAAAUUUUAUUCGAAAAUAUCUGCUAAGUGCCCUUUGCUCGCAAACAUUAAUUGGAAAGUGAUGAAGAGCAAAAUGCGCUAUUUAAAAGGAAUAUAUAUGGAGGCCGUGAAAUGGCGUAGUCAAACAGGAGCUGGAUUAAUUGAAAAUGGAGAAGAAGAAAGCGUCAAGGGUAUUUUAUUUUCUUUGUCUUUUAAAUACGAAA